GGGUCCUGGAGGCCAUCGCCCGCGGGGGGCACCAACUGCGGGAGCUCCCCAAGCAGAGCCCGAGCCCGGCAGAGCCCGAGGAUGAUUCCCAGAGGCUCGAUGAGAAGGUGGCGCAGCUGGACGCGGUGCUGAAGCGGCUGCACGAGGUCAGGAUGCUCAACAGCGGCUCCGGGACCUCCCAUGAACCCCCCGGGACCCCCUGAGAUCCCCCAGACCCAUCCUGGGGACCCCCUGAAAUCCGUCCUGGAACCCCUGACCCCCCCCAGGACCUCUCCCUUGGGGACCCCCCCCCCAAUUCCUCAGGGGACCCCAGACCCACCCCAAGGACCCCCUGACAUCUCUCAGGACCCCCAGAAGUGCCCCCCAAGCCCCCCCUGAGGGCUGUGGGACCCCGCAGGACUCGGGGACCCCCCCCCAGCAUUUGCACCC